rnacentral:rRNA from 1 species
GACGAACGCUGGCGGCGUGCUUAACACAUGCAAGUCGAACGGAAAGGCCCUGCUUUUGUGGGGUGCUCGAGUGGCGAACGGGUGAGUAACACGUGAGUAACCUGCCCUUGACUUUGGGAUAACUUCAGGAAACUGGGGCUAAUACCGGAUAGGAGCUCCUGCUGCAUGGUGGGGGUUGGAAAGUUUCGGCGGUUGGGGAUGGACUCGCGGCUUAUCAGCUUGUUGGUGGGGUAGUGGCUUACCAAGGCUUUGACGGGUAGCCGGCCUGAGAGGGUGACCGGCCACAUUGGGACCGAGAUACGGCCCAGACUCCUACGGGAGGCAGCAGUGGGGAAUAUUGCACAAUGGGCGGAAGCCUGAUGCAGCAACGCCGCGUGCGGGAUGACGGCCUUCGGGUUGUAAACCGCUUUCGCCUGUGACGAAGCGUGAGUGACGGUAAUGGGUAAAGAAGCACCGGCUAACUACGU